UCAAAAUUAAUCAAUAAUCUUAGUUACUAUUCUAAGUUCUUUCAAAGUACGAACCCUAGGUUUCUUCUCCUUUCCCACCUCUCCUCUAUCAAAAUCGUCGCCGUCUUAGGCUCCAUCGUCGCUUUCGGCAGCGAAGACGACACUAUCCACCUCUACGACCUCUCUGUCGCCUCCUCCCUCGGUUCCCUCCACCAACACUCUACCUUUGUCACCGCCCUCUCCUUCUACGCCCCUCCCAAUCUCCACUUCCCCCGCAACCUCAUCUCUGCCGACGACGCUGGCUCCCUCGCCGUUUUUGAUGCAAACGGCUUCGUCCAUCUUACCACGCUCUCCGUCCACUGCAACGCUGGUAUCAACGACCUCACCCUACACCUAUCCGGUGAGCGCGACCGAUAAAAUGGAAGAUGUUUGUUCAGGCUUUGAAGGAUGCUUGAAUAGAGGAGUUUGAGCUAUAUCGAUGGCAACAAAAUUGAGGACUCCGACAGCCUGGAGAGGAUUAAGCGAGCGUUGGCCGAGGCGAUCGGCGGGGACGGCGACGGAAUGGUCUCGGUGACGAGACCGGCAAUGGCGAACUCGGGGGUUGUGGUAAGGAGGUCUGGGCUGGUGGAUGGCGUUGGCGAGCGUCGCGCGAAAGCGGAGAGAAUGUUUACCUUAAUGGAUGGGUUUCUGAAGAAAGACCCUCUCAGUCUCCAAAAGGAUAUUCUGAAUCAUGUGGAGUACACUGUGGCCAGGUCACGGUUUAAUUUUGACGAUUUCGAAGCGUAUCAGGGAACAACUAUGGCUUCACUCAUUCAAGAAAAUUCUAUCAAACAGAUGCAACUAUGGCUUCACUCGUUAAGCCCAACACAAAGUCAAGGAAUUAUGAAAGCAUUUUAACAACAGAUUUUCAAAGUGUCAUUGAGCUGCCACUGUUUUCAGGUGAUACCAGAUGAGGAAGCAACAAGGGCAGUGACUCAAACAUAUGAAUUAGCAGAAGAAUGCUUGCAAAUAAAUUACUAUGGCACUAAAAUAACUAUAGAAUCCCUUAUGCCCCUCUUGCAAUUAUCUGACUCUCCAAGAAUUGUGAAUGUAUCAUCCACUCUCGGGCAAUUAGAGGUUUCAUUUAAUUUGCUUGAGAAGUACUUGGAAGCACACUCAAAGGCCUCCAUGUGGGAAAAUGAGCUCCUGGAUGUAGGCUACCAGCCUUUGUGCAUCCAAAUUCCCUACACAGUAAGGCUCUUAAUUUUGAACUAAGAACUCCAGCCUCACGUUUUGUUUCCUUAGUUGGUAUAAGGCUUACUCCUUGCAUAUUAUUUUCUCUGUUAGUCGUGUACUCUGUGUUAGAUGGCUUACUCCAAGUAACAUUUUUCUGGAUAUGAAUAUUGUUGAUUGAUGAAAAGAAAGAACACAAUUUUUCUGGAUAUUGGAAGUGAUGCAUUUACUCUUUGCAAGCUAGAAGCAUUUCAACCAGGAAAAAGGGGAGCUGUCGUGGGAUUAGUGGAAGAGAAGCAUUUCAUUCUCCUUUCUUAGAUGGAUGGUGACGUUGCAGAAGGUUUUUAGUUUUCUUGUCUAUGUUGAAACCGAGGAGAAUUUUGAAGAACACAUGGUCUUGUUCUUGUUUUUGUCUUUAUGUUUGAACCAGAUUUUUAUUUUUAUAUUAGUGUUAUUUUACUGUGAAGAAGUGUGCAUGUUGGUAGCUUUUGUCAUUUUCAUUUGGUGAUUAGAUUGUUGCUCACGGUGAUUUGUGGUUUCUUUUAGAAAAAGCUGAUUUAUUUGAGUUGAAAGAACUUGCACAAGGUGUCAAAUUAUUUUCUUUCUUUGAUGAUAGAGGAGAGCACGGUCAUUGAAAGUAAGUGGGGUCACGGCUUGAGUUGGUGCAGCUGCCAUGUGGAGAAGAAUUCAUCCACUUUAGAAAGCAAAAGUGGAAGGGUGGUUGGUGAUUUACGUGAAGAAAAGAGAAGUCGCUUACAUGAUGCAUAUUUCUUUUAUUUCUGAGUUGGUGCAGCAUGGAGAGAAGAGAAGCACACUUUCAUUUGUUUAGAAUACUUUCAAAUUUUUUAUUCCAGCUUAGGAGUAGUUUUAGUUUAUUUUAUUUGCUGCCAAUUAUUUUCGAAACCUAUGUCUUAUUUUUGAUAAAUGAUGAAAUUUUUCAGUGAA